AUUGAACGCUGGCGGCAUGCCUUACACAUGCAAGUCGAACGGUAACGGGCCUUCGGGUGCCGACGAGUGGCGAACGGGUGAGUAAUGUAUCGGAACGUACCUUUCAGUGGGGGAUAACGUAGCGAAAGUUACGCUAAUACCGCAUAUUCUGUGCGCAGGAAAGCAGGGGAUCGCAAGACCUUGCGCUGAUUGAGCGGCCGAUAUCAGAUUAGCUAGUUGGUGAGGUAAAGGCUCACCAAGGCGACGAUCUGUAGCGGGUCUGAGAGGAUGAUCCGCCACACUGGAACUGGGACACGGUCCAGACUCCUACGGGAGGCAGCAGUGGGGAAUUUUGGACAAUGGGGGCAACCCUGAUCCAGCCAUGCCGCGUGAGUGAAGAAGGCCUUCGGGUUGUAAAGCUCUUUCGGCCGGGAAGAAAUCGUAUCAGCUAAUACCUGGUGCGGAUGACGGUACCGGCAUAAGAAGCACCGGCUAACUACGUGCCAGCCGCCGCUGUAAGAC
rnacentral:rRNA from 1 species